AUGCAACCACUCUUGUGGAGAAAAAUUCAUUCCUUGUGUCCAGCUGGAAUCUCUCCUGCUGCACCUUGUGACUGUUGCUCCUUAUGCUGUUGUGGUGCAUCUCGGAAAAAAUUCUCUCCUCUGUAAUGCCUACUAAGAAACUGAGAAGCUCUGUGACAGGAUCAAAACAAGAGCAAUCAGUCUUACAUUUCCAUGAAGACAUAGUCAGCUUUGAGCAAGUUUCUAGAAUAAAUGAACAACUGAACAAUAUAAAGUCUGCAAUAACUAGGCCAUCUCCUCUGCUUUCUGGACUUAGCAACUUGGAAGUUUCCUUGAAAAGGAAGCUCAAGUAAUUACUUGUUAGAAUAAAUUGAAAAAAAAUAGAAAAUGCAAACUGGCCAACUGAAAGACACAGGCUUCUACAUGCACAGUAAUCUCCUAUUUAGGACUGAGACUUCCAUUUUUGCUUGAUUUCUCAGACUACUGCUACCAAACACGUCGAAGGAGUCAACUGAAGUUGCUGAGCAGUAUCAUUUAUGUAGAAGAUAUUUACCAGGCAUCACUAUUAUGACAGAACGCUAAUAAUUUUUUGUGCUCUAAAGAAAAACACCUUUGGCAGUUCUGAUGCAUAUGAUUUAGUCAGUAAGUAAAAUAUAAUUAUCUCAAUCUUAACAUACCAUCUCUUUGCUACUAAAUACAGAAUAUUCAACAAAAGAAAUGUAGAGUCUAAACCCUGUAUUUAAAACAUACUUAGUUCUAUGGUUUAUGAUGUAUAGCUUAAUAAAGAUGAGCCCUGAGUUGAACUGUUUUAUUUGCAUAAACAA